CAAUAGCGUAUAUUAAAGUUGUUGCAGUUAAAAAGCUCGUAGUUGGAUUUCUGGCGGGAGCGACCGGUCGGCGCUUAACGGCGUGUGCACUGGAGUUGUCUCUUGCCAUCCUUGAGGAGAACGUGUCUGGCAUUAAGUUGUCGGGCUUGGGAUCCUCAUCGUUUACUGUGAAAAAAUUAGAGUGUUUAAAGCAGGCAUUUGCUGUGAAUACAUUAGCAUGGAAUAAUAAGAUAGGACUUUGGUGCUAUUUUGUUGGUUUGCGUACCAAGGUAAUGAUUAAUAGGGAUAGUUGGGGGUAUUCGUAUUCAAUUGUCAGAGGUGAAAUUCUUGGAUUUAUGGAAGACGAACAACUGCGAAAGCAUUUACCAAGGAUGUUUUCAUUAA
rnacentral:rRNA from 1 species